rnacentral:rRNA from 1 species
AGAGUUUGAUCCUGGCUCAGGAUGAACGCUGGCGGCGUGCUUAACACAUGCAAGUCGAACGGAGCGCCGGACACGGACUAUUUCGGUAGGAAGCGUGCGGAGGCUUAGUGGCGGACGGGUGAGUAACGCGUGGAUAACCUGCCGCAUACCGGGGGAUAACAGCUGGAAACAGCUGCUAAUACCGCAUAUGCCCGCAGUGCUGCAUGGCACAGCGGGGAAAACUCCGGUGGUAUGCGAUGGGUCCGCGUCUGAUUAGGCAGUUGGCGGGGUAACGGCCCACCAAACCGACGAUCAGUAGCCGGCCUGAGAGGGCGGACGGCCACACUGGGACUGAGACACGGCCCAGACUCCUGCGGGAGGCAGCAGUGUGGAAUAUUGCACAAUGGGGGAAACCCUGAUGCAGCGACGCCGCGUGAAGGAAGAAGUAUCUCGGUAUGUAAACUUCUAUCAGCAGGGAAGAAAACAGACGGUACCUGACUAAGAAGCCCCGGCUAACUACGUGCCAGCAGCCGCGGUAAUACGUAGGGGGCAAGCGUUAUCCGGAUUUACUGGGUGUAAAGGGGGCGCAGACGGCCAUGGCAAGCCCGGUGUGAAAGGCAGGGGCAUAACCCCUGGACUGCACUGGGAACUGUCAGGCUGGAGUGCCGGAGGGGUAAGCGGAAUUCCUGGUGUAGCGGUGAAAUGCGUAGAUAUCAGGAGGAACACCGGCGGCGAAGGCGGCUUACUGGACGGCAACUGACGUUGAGGCCCGAAAGCGUGGGGAGCGAACAGGAUUAGAUACCCUGGUAGUCCACGCCGUAAACGAUGUAUACCAGGUGUUCGGAUAUAAGGGAUAUCCCGUGCCGAAAGCAAACGC